rnacentral:rRNA from 2 species
GAUCCAGCAAUGCCGCGUGUGUGAAGAAGGCCUUCGGGUUGUAAAGCACUUUUGUCCGGAAAGAAAUCCCUGGUCCUAAUAUGGCCGGGGGAUGACGGUACCGGAAGAAUAAGCACCGGCUAACUACGUGCCAGCAGCCGCGGUAAUACGUAGGGUGCAAGCGUUAAUCGGAAUUACUGGGCGUAAAGCGUGCGCAGGCGGUGAUGUAAGACCGAUGUGAAAUCCCCGGGCUCAACCUGGGAACUGCAUUGGUGACUGCAUCGCUUGAGUAUGGCAGAGGGGGGUAGAAUUCCACGUGUAGCAGUGAAAUGCGUAGAGAUGUGGAGGAAUACCGAUGGCGAAGGCAGCCCCCUGGGUCAAUACUGACGCUCAUGCACGAAAGCGUGGGGAGCAAACAGGAUUAGAUACCCUGGUAGUCCACGCCCUAAACGAUGUCAACUGGUUGUCGGGUCUUCAUUGACUUGGUAACGUAGCUAACGCGUGAAGUUGACCGCCUGGGGAGUACGGUCGCAAGAUUA